rnacentral:sRNA from 1 species
GGAUGUUAGGGCAAUCUGGUUGUGACAUUGCUCAGUCCACUAACCACCAGCAUUGAUUUGGCUGAUCUGACUGGCUAGGCAUGCUUCCCCUUCCUCCCUCACUACUCCAUGUGCAUCCCUCCCAAAGCUGCACUCUGGGUCAAAGAGAAUAACCUUUGCUCCAUAGAGAAGAACAAUAAUUCUUCAGUCAAGAGUGUAUGAGUAGCUGUGCUACCCUGCCAGGACCUCCAGACAUGCCCUUAUUUGGUUUUAGUUUCUAUUAUACUAUUUGACUAG